UACGGGGGGAGCAAGCGUUGUUCGGAUUUACUGGGCGUAAAGGGCGCGUAGGCGGCCACCGCAAGUCGACUGUGAAAUCUCCGGGCUUAACCCGGAAAGGUCAGCCGAUACUGCGGGGCUAGAGUGCAGAAGGGGCAACUGGAAUUCUCGGUGUAGCGGUGAAAUGCGUAGAUAUCGAGAGGAACACCUGCGGCGAAGGCGGGUUGCUGGGCUGACACGUGACGC
rnacentral:rRNA from 1 species